UCAAAGGCUCAAACUAAGCCCAGCCCAUUUAGUUUGCAAAUUAGGGUUCCUCAUCAAACGCCUCUCCUGCCUCUCUCUCUCUCAUCAAACGCCUCUUUCUCUAUCUUCCUCUCUCUCUCCUUCCUGCCUUGAGUUCCUUCACGAAUCUGCUUCCUGCCUCUCUCUCUCUCUCUUCCUGACUUGAGUUCCUUCACGGACAGCGAUACAAGCACAACCGCGAGAGAAAACUUCCAUCGCAGCGGCACAAUCGCACAACCGCGCGAGACGACAAGUAUAGUACGAGCUUCGAUUGUUGCUUUUAGAUUUGAAUUUGAAAGCUUAAUUAUUGUUUGGUUAAUACAAAUGUUGCCAUUUUGAAGUUUGGGUGAAGAAAACUAGGAAUCCGACUAAGAUACAAAUGUUAUCUUGAUAAUUUGUUGUUAAUGGCAUAUUGGUGUUUUAUGACUUUUGUCUUGUUUAUCUUUUUCUUUUGAAAUAUUGUCUUUGUUUAUCUAAUUGAGUAGCAGAACAUGUUUUUAUUUUAUUGUUAUUAUAUACAGGCACUACAAUCUGAUGAAUAUCUGGAAUUUUUUUUUAAAAAAAUGCAGCAGUUUUAAAAAUUAAAUUACAGCAGUUUUUUUUUAAUUGCUAUUUAAAAAAAAUAAAAGAAAUUCGGGUACCCUAUGUCCCGACCCGAAUAAUUCGGGUACUCGAAACCCGGGUACCCGAGAUAUUCGGGUCGGGACAUGGGACGAAUUAACAAUUACCCGAAACUCCGAAAAUUCGGGUACCCAAAUUUGAACACCCCUACUCACAUCUUUUCACUAACUUUUAAAUGUUUUUUUUAUUAUUCAGGUUCAUAUAAGAGUAUAUUCAAAUUCAUACAUUACACCAAGACUCACUCUAGACUCAUUUAUUUUCUCACAAAAUAUAUAUUUAUUUAUUUAUUAAAGUACCUUGCUAACGAACGCCCACAUAACGUUGGAUAAUCAUUUAAAAUAUUACUUACAAUGAUAUUAAUUUGGAAAUGCAUCCUCGAGGCAUUUGUUAGCUUUUGUCUGUUUUAAAUAUCUGUAUAGGUAAACUUUCCGUUUGCAACUUAUUUUAGCCUGUUAAUUCGGUUUUUUUUUUUUAAAAAAAUAAAAUCCUCUGUCAGCAAAUCAAGGCCGUCUUUAAGGUUCCCGUUCGGUCUGAAUUUGUGGUCUAAUUUCCUCCAUUAAAGUAGCUUCUUGAGGAGUGGUGAUGAAACUCUUCAAGGAUUUUUGCCCUUUUGAUUUUGACCUAAGAAAGGGAAAAAGAGGAGAGAAGAUGCGAUGAAUGGCGGAGGAGGUAAUGGUGGUGGCGGAUUGGAGUUUCUGGAAACAAUUUGAUGAAGCUCAUAAACUUGAUUGCUCAAUAUAUUAGUUGCAAAAUUUGUGAGCGGGAGGUUGUUGUUUCUAUUGCCGAAGAAUUGUGGCAGAUCAUCGAUGUCUCAGAAUUACAUCGGUUUGAUUUGCUUCGAUUUUUAAUGUUGAGUUAAUUUUGUAAUCUCACUUGAGUAUUCAGUUUUGAUUCAUUUUUGGAGGAUAAUUUUUUGUUUGAUUUUUUUAUGAAGUAGGCUUUGUUGCGGAUUGCAAUUUGAAUAAAAGAUUGCAACUGACUGGGCCGAAGAAUCGGAGUCCAAUCAAGAGUUCAAGAAGUGCCCAAGUGGCCUUUCCCGGCUCAAGGGCUUCCGCCCAAAGGCGCGCCAGGCCGGGCGGGGCAAAAGAAGGUAGGGCGUUGCUUCACCUGAGCUCACGCCCGGUGCGAGAGGUGUUUCAAAGGUCAAAAAGGCGCAUCCAAUCGAGCGGUGCCUCGCCCGACCGGGCGCUCGUUUCUGGAGGCAGAUUUAAGCGUCGUUCAUUUUCGUUUAAGUUUAGGAUUUGUUAGCUUAGUAUAAAUAUGCUUUUGUUAAUCGAGUUUAGUACUUUUUCACCUCUUCACUUAGCUUUUCUCUCUCUACUUAGUUUUUAGAUUAAACAUCUCUCUUGUUUUCUCUCUCUACAACUCUACAAUUCAUUCCAUUAUUUCCGUUAACUUUGGUAACAA